rnacentral:snRNA from 1 species
GUGCUUGCUUCGGCAGCACAUAUACUAAAACUGAAACGAUACAGAGAAGACUAGCAUGGCCCCUGCACAAGGAUGACACGCACUUGCGUGAAGUGUUCCACAUUUUU